rnacentral:rRNA from 1 species
GAGCAAUCCGCUUGAGGAGGAGCUUGCGGCAGAUUAGCUUGUUGGUAAGGUAACGGCUUACCAAGGCUACGAUCUGUAUCCGGCCUGAGAGGGCGGUCGGACACACUGACACUGAAUAACGGGUCAGACUCCUACGGGAGGCAGCAGUCGGGAAUUUUGGGCAAUGGGCGAAAGCCUGACCCAGCAACGCCGCGUGAAGGAUGAAGUAUUUCGGUAUGUAAACUUCGAAAGAAUGGGAAGAAUAAAUGACGGUACCAUUUAUAAGCUCCGGCUAACUACGUGCCAGCAGCCGCGGUAAUACGUAGGGAGCAGGCGUUGUUCGGAUUUACUGGGCGUAAAGGGCGCGUAGGCGGCGUGACAAGUCACUUGUGAAAUCUCCGGGCUUAACUCGGAAUGGUCAAGUGAUACUGUCGUGCUAGAGUGCAGAAAGGGCAACU